UACGUAGGUGGCGAGCGUUGUCCGGAUUUAUUGGGUUUAAAGGGUGCGUAGGCGGCUUUGUAAGUCAGUGGUGAAAUACUCUAGCUUAACUAGAGGGGUGCCAUUGAUACUGCGGAGCUUGAGGACUGGAGAGGAGACUGGAAUUUACGGUGUAGCAGUGAAAUGCGUAGAGAUCGUAAGGAAGACCAGUGGCGAAGGCGGGUCUCUGGACAGUUCCUGACACUGAGGCACGAAGGCCAGGGGAGCAAACGGG
rnacentral:rRNA from 1 species